rnacentral:lncRNA from 1 species
AUGUUAUUGCUAUAGGGAUGAUAUCUAUUUGACAUUUCAACUGUCUCCUGUAUGUUCAUUCAGCUGCCAAGGAACUUCCUUCUGUCUACAGAUUUUGUACUUGAGGUCUUGAGCCUUACCAUCCACAAAGUUGCUGAUGUAACCUACACCCUUUUGCGGCAGUUUUUGUUGUCAGGUGAAUUAUGAUUGCCCCUUUGACCCAGC